GGAAAGGACACGAGAAGGUUGACAUUUCAAAGUCUCUUCCAGGGCUAAAAAAGUGAGACUAGUUUAGAAGUAUUAGUGGAUUGUUAGAAAUACUGGGAGGAAAGCCGACAGAAAUGGCACUGCUUUCGAGGCAUGGCAAUCAAAUCUUUUGAAUAUAUAUGUCUGCGCUUUGCAUUUGACCCUGGUUGGAACAAGCAAAACAAAAACCGUGUUUCUUAUGCUAUAAACAAUAAAGGUGACCCAGAGAUCCUUUUAUCAACAUUUUAAUGGAUUCACUAUGAAAGAAGGCCUUUGCAUUGCUGCUGACUCCAUCAGAAUCUCAGAAGUGUUCCUGGAUCACAGAGGGGGACCCAGACAAUUAGAACCUGGAAGGCCUGCUACUCAUAGGCAUGAGGCCAGAAGACUUGCCCUAGUGCCGAAAUGUGGUUCUGUUAAUGUGUAUCUCAUGCCCAGUAUUUCUUAUUAAUAAGGCCCUAAAUAAGGGACAAUCCAGUGUUUCCAUUGCCAAAAGGAAACAUCUCCCUUUUAAUUAAUCAAUGUAAAUGGCCUCUUACUGGAAAAUAGAAGUAAAGUAUUUCUAGGACAUAGGAUAUAAUGUUACAUUGGGGAAUAUCAUGCCCUCUUUUUAUUUUAAAGUAGAGAUUGUUUUUUUAAUGCAGAGACACUAGGUCUGGACAAGCUGAGAGAGAGUUCAUUCACAAAUUAUUGCAGAACAUGUGCUAUUUGGGUAAACUCAGGACUUUUGUUUCCCAGUUCAUUUUUGCCACACUCGUUUACUUUCAAUCCAGUGGGAGCUCAGAUCAGGAAAAUUAUC